rnacentral:rRNA from 1 species
GAUGAACGCUGGCGGCGUGCCUAACACAUGCAAGUCGAACGGAAAGACCAUGCGCUUGCUCCACUCACGUUAGCGGCGGGCGGGUGAGUAACACGUGGAUAACCCACCUAUAAGACUGAGAUAUCUUCGAGAAACCGGAGCAAAUACCGGAUGAUAUAUUGAACCGCAUGGUUCAAUAGUGAUAUACGGUUUUGCUGUCACUUAUAGCUGGAUCCGCGGUGGAUGAGAUAGUUGGUAGGGAAACGGCUUAGCAAGGCAACGAUGCGUGGCCGACAUGAGAGGGUGAUCGGCCACACUGGAAGUGAGACACGGUCCAGGGGCCUAGGGGCGGCAGCAGGAGGGAAUCUUGCGCAAUGGGCGGAAGCCUGACGGAGCAGCGCCGCGUGGGUGAUGAGGGUCUUCGGAUCGGAAAACUCGGUUAUUGGGGAAGAACACAUUUGUAAGUGACUAUGCACGUCUUGACGGUACCUAAUCAAAAAGCCACGGCUAACUACGUG